CAGACGGAAGUUUUGCUUAUUUGUAUCUGUACGCCAAUGCAAAGGGAGGCUACUUUGGUGAAUCUUUACGGCUUGUACUUCAGGAUGGAAAAAUUCAAGUCUACAAAUAGUUCCAUAAAUCUCUACGUUAUAACUGAGGAAGAAGAUUUCUGGAUGGCAAAAGAUUAUUUCUGAAUGUAUAGUUUUCCAAAACUUGCCCCCAUUUGUACUUUUGCUUAAACAGAUAUUCAUCUCUCUGGAUAAGAUCCCAAUCUGCCUCUUGGUUGAAGCCUUCCAUUUUUCACAAGAACAAAGAAACACAAACACAGACAAAAUCAACAACUUUGGUCAU